rnacentral:lncRNA from 1 species
GACCGUGUGGUCACACACGCCCGUGUGGCUUGGGACACGCCAGUGUCCUCAGCCCGUGUAACUCUCUAUUUAUGACAUCAGUAAAAUAAUUUAUACCACACGUCUAGGCCACACGCUCGUGUACUAGGCCGUGUCCUACACACGGUUGAGACACAUGGCCAUGUCUCUGCCCGUGUAGCUAACACGUAGGCUAUUUUCCAAGCCUUAUGUUGACCUUACUUUUUUCCCCAUACUUUUACACAUCAUAGGC